rnacentral:rRNA from 1 species
AAAGCUCAAAUUUGAAAUCUGGCGGUCUACGGCCGUCCGAGUUGUAAUUUAGAGAGGCGUCUUCCGCGUCGGACCACACACAAGUUCCCUGGAACGGGGCGUCAUAGAGGGUGAGAAUCCCGUAUAUGGUGUGGACUACCGAGGCUAUGUGAUGCGCCCUCGAAGAGUCGAGUUGUUUGAGAAUGCAGCUCAAAACGGGUGGUAAAUUCCAUCUAAAGCUAAAUAUUGGCGAGAGACCGAUAGCGAA